rnacentral:rRNA from 1 species
UCGGGAAUUUUGGGCAAUGGGGGAAACCCUGACCCAGCAACGCCGCGUGAAGGAUGAAGUAUUUCGGUAUGUAAACUUCGAAAGAAUAGGAAGAAUAAAUGACGGUACUAUUUAUAAGGUCCGGCUAACUACGUGCCAGCAGCCGCGGUAAUACGUAGGGACCAAGCGUUGUUCGGAUUUACUGGGCGUAAAGGGCGCGUAGGCGGCAUGACAAGUCACUUGUGAAAUCUCUGGGCUUAACCCAGAACGGCCAAGUGAUACUGUCGCGCUAGAGUGCAGAAGGGGCAAUCGGAAUUCUUGGUGUAGCGGUGAAAUGCGUAGAUAUCAAGAGGAACACCUGAGGUGAAGACGGGUUGCUGGGCUGACACUGACGCUGAGGCGCGAAAGCCAGGGGAGCAAACGGGGAUUAGAUACCCCCGUAGUCCCUGAGCGGGCUGGCAAGGCGCAU